AAUUUUCCUUCUAACAUCGACGUCAUGUAGCAUUAGCAAAAUGACCUAAAUUUGAUGAGGCAGGAUACCAUGCUGUGGAGACCCAUUUGGCAAGAAACUAAAGGCAGCCACCAUCCAAAUGCUAGGAAAAAGCUACAGCUUUCUGUCUGAUGGCAAAGGAGACACUGAAUCCAGUCAACAAUAACAGGAGUUUGAUGGAAGAUCCAUUCCCCAGUGGAGCCUCAGAUAACACCUCAAGUCUGGCCAACAUUCUGACUGUAAACUUAUGAGAGACCCUGAAGCAGAGAAUUCAGCUAAUCCAUGCCUGGGUUUCUGACUCUCAAAAAUUCUGAGAUAAUAAAUGCAUGUUGUUUUAUGCC
rnacentral:lncRNA from 1 species